AGAGUUUGAUCCUGGCUCAGGAUGAACGCUGGCGGCGUGCCUAACACAUGCAAGUCGAGCGAUUCUCUUCGGAGAAGAGCGGCGGACGGGUGAGUAACGCGUGGGUAACCUGCCCUGUACACACGGAUAACAUACCGAAAGGUAUGCUAAUACGAGAUAAUAUGCUUUUAUCGCAUGGUAGAAGUAUCAAAGCUUUUGCGGUACAGGAUGGACCCGCGUCUGAUUAGCUAGUUGGUAAGGUAACGGCUUACCAAGGCGACGAUCAGUAGCCGACCUGAGAGGGUGAUCGGCCACAUUGGAACUGAGACACGGUCCAAACUCCUACGGGAGGCAGCAGUGGGGAAUAUUGCACAAUGGGCGAAAGCCUGAUGCAGCAACGCCGCGUGAGCGAUGAAGGCCUUCGGGUCGUAAAGCUCUGUCCUCAAGGAAGAUAAUGACGGUACUUGAGGAGGAAGCCCCGGCUAACUACGUGCCAGCAGCCGCGGUAAUACGUAGGGGGCUAGCGUUAUCCGGAAUUACUGGGCGUAAAGGGUGCGUAGGUGGUUUCUUAAGUCAGAGGUGAAAGGCUACGGCUCAACCGUAGUAAGCCUUUGAAACUGGGAAACUUGAGUGCAGGAGAGGAGAGUGGAAUUCCUAGUGUAGCGGUGAAAUGCGUAGAUAUUAGGAGGAACACCAGUUGCGAAGGCGGCUCUCUGGACUGUAACUGACACUGAGGCACGAAAGCGUGGGGAGCAAACAGGAUUAGAUACCCUGGUAGUCCACGCCGUAAACG
rnacentral:rRNA from 2 species